UAACACAGUAUUCGUUUGAACAUAUUAUAUUGUUGAGAGACGAAUGCGAGCGACGAUUUGAAAAUUAAGUCGUGUUCGAAUGAGAGAAAACAUGAGGUUGCUGAAAACGGAUUUGCGGGAUGCCUUGAUUUUUCAUCACCCACGAAAGUGAAGAGAUUUGGAGGGAUUAGUGGUAAAAAAACCGAUUCCACUCCGGCAAAAGAUUCACAAAAACGCUGUAUUCGGUUCGCAUCAAGUGAUAUUCGGUUCCAGACAUUUUGGUAACUUGACGAAGGAGAUGUAUUCGGUUACCAUGGAGUGGUAUUCGGUUCCCACUAUGCAGAACCACUUCGAACAACGCUGUAUUCGGUUGUUUCCUUCAAGCAGCAAGGUUGGCGUGGAGGUGGAGGCGGUCUGAUGUUUGACGAAGGUGUUUCCAUGGUGGUGGAUGGUGGACAAUCACCCUUGGCCCAUGACCCAUGAUGCUAGAGGAUGCAGCUCCAUCCCAUGCUCCUUCAAGCAGUCGACGAAGGUGGAGAACGACAUGAAUUAACAGGAAGUUGAUGGGCGAAUGUGUGAAGAAGAUGAGGGAGGCGCGAGGGAGAUGGCGGCCCUGAAGUGGCGACGUCCGAUUAAAGGGCGAGAGAGUAUCGGUGGCGCGAGGGUUUGGCAAUAAGCGCCGCGGCCAAGGGCAACACUCGCCGUAACCCGCAUCCUCAAAGGCGAUUGGUCGAGCGAUGGCGUUUUGCAGGUUCUGCGGUGGCGACGUCGUCCAUGAGCGGUGAUGGCCAACGAAUAUGACAGUGGUGGGGAACGAGCAAACCGGUGACACGGUGGUGACUCACUACUAUUUCAGUUGCAGGAAUGAAGAAGAACAGAGGCGUAUUCGAUUACACAACAUCUAUAUUCGGUUCCUGCAGUACAAACAAAUACAAAGGGACCUGUACUCGGUUCCUGUGUUUGUAUUUGGUUCCCUAAAGUAAAAACAUGUGUAUUCGGUUCCAUUUUUCUGUAUUUGAUUCCCUUACAAUUUGGCUUCACGUUACACCCUGUAUUCCAUUCUACAGUGGUAUGUAUUCGGUUCUUUUGGAGCACAUUUGGGUUGCAAGCUUGUAGGUGGAGGUGCCAUCAUCUGUGAUGAAGUUGGAGAGGGAUCCUCACCGGAGGUUGCAAGCUUGAAGGUGGAGGUGGAGGUUGCAAGCUUGAAUAAUUUUGUACUGACCUUUCUAGGUUUGAGAGAGCAUGGAUCCUCACCGGAGCACUUUACUGGCGACUGGUACUUCGUGCCGGAACUCUGCUGCUUGCGAAAUCACCGGUUGAACGUCCACCUCGAUCACUUCUCGGGGACCCAUUUUUCUGGAUGAUAUAAUUAGGUUAAUGUUGUUUAAUUAUUGUAUUAAACAUACAUGAUGUAUCAACCUUUUGUCAAUGGAGUAUCUGGUAUUGAGGCAGAAUGUAGUUGUUGUUUUUUAGAUUAUAUAAUGGUUUUGAAUCCUU